rnacentral:rRNA from 1 species
UACGGAGGGGGCUAGCGUUGUUCGGAAUUACUGGGCGUAAAGCGCACGUAGGCGGCUUUGUAAGUUAGAGGUGAAAGCCCGGGGCUCAACUCCGGAAUUGCCUUUAAGACUGCAUCGCUAGAAUUGUGGAGAGGUAAGUGGAAUUCCGAGUGUAGAGGUGAAAUUCGUAGAUAUUCGGAAGAAACACCAGUGGCGAAGGCGACUUACUGGACACAUAUUGACGCUGAGGUGGCGAAAGCGUGGGGAGCAAACAGG